GGCGGAAGGAACUCGGCAUGGUUGAGUAGUAGAUUGUGAAUCUAAAAGUCAUGGGUUCGAAUCCCAUCUUCCGCC
rnacentral:tRNA from 1 species